CGAAAUGGUCAGUUGACCCCUUUAGGAGUUAUUGCCCUUUAUAGUCAAUUUUUAACAAUUUUUCGUAAAUCUUAGUUAUCUUUUACAAAAAUCUUCUCCUCUGAAACUACUGGGCCAAAUUAAACCAAACUUGGCCACAAUCAUCAUUGGGGUAUCUAGUUUAAAAAAUGUGUGGCGUGACCCGGUCAACCAACCAAGAUGGCCGCCACGGCUAAAAAUAGAACAUAGGGGUAAAAUGCAGUUUUGGGCUUAUAACUCAAAAACCAAAGCAUUUAUAGCAAAUCUGACAUGGGG
rnacentral:lncRNA from 1 species